CCUUUCUGCUUGUUGGUGAGGCCGAGGACGAGAGGAGAACGCAGACGAAAGCGGCAGUUAGUGCCACUACUAACGGCCACCGUCACAUUCUCCCUCUGACGUACGCCGACGCUGACGUGGCGAAAUAGCGACCGUCCAUCUUCAAUCAUCCUUUUGCACUUUUCAUCAUCAUCAGCCACGCUUCUUCCUUCCAGUCUCCACCACCAAAUUGCGCAACUCUGUCUCUAUCUCUGUACUGUCAGUGUCAAUAGAACAACAAUGAGCGCCCACCACUCUCCCUUUUCCAGAGUCCAUAGCCAAAAUUUUCCAAGCUUUUUCUAAUUUCUUUCUCUAGUUUUACAACCCCUUUGUAUAAUUCUAUGCAUAUAUUUCAGAUCCCGAAAUUCCUCGUCUUCUUCCUCAUACUUCCAAAUUUUAUAUUCUCUUUUUCUUCUUACUAGACAAUUUCUUUGAAAUUACUUCCAAUGUCUUCUUUUCUUCUUUCACCCAUUUCCUCAAAACGUCUGCUUUAAGCUUCAUUCAUUGUAAUAGAUGUCCAUUUUUCAUGUGGGGUAUGAAAAGUUAAUUUUUCAAUUCACUUUUUCUUCUUACAAGACAUUUCACUUUUUUUUUGGCUUGCCCUUUUGCUUUAUAGCCACCCUUUUUUAGGUCUCCUUGUUGAUAAAAGUUCAUUUUUGCAAAAAGGUCAAGCUUUUUGAGUGCUGUAGGUAUGGAUGCAGAUCAAGAUGGGUAUGCUAAUUUUGCAGAGAGCAGGGAGACAAGGUACGAGAGUGCCACUUCUGGAAAUGGUGUUGGCAAACAGUUUGUGGGCGAGCCUGAAAUGGGAUUUCAAGACCAAAUUAGAGAGUUCUUGAGGGGGGCAGCUGAAUUGAGUGUACAAUUCGCUAAAGGGUGUAGGGAUAUUGUGGUGCAGAGUCUAGGAAGGGAAGAUUCUUUUAUUGUGAGGAAUUUUGGGAGAAAUUCUUAUAUAGGGAAGAAAGUUGGGUAUGGCUGUGAGAGGAUUCAUAAGAAAUUGAAGGUGUUUAAUGAGUACUUGCCUGAGGAUAAGGAUCCAGUGCAUGCUUGGUCAGUGAUAUGCAUCGUGUCUGUUCUUACUUUUGCAGUCUUGAGUUUAAGUGGUGAACAUGACGCCCCAUCCACAUCAAUAAAGAAGGUGUUCAUACAUCCUCCUAGUGCUCAUCGCAUAUUGCUUCCAGAUGGCAGAUACAUGGCAUAUAGGGAGCAAGGUGUUCCAACCGACAGAGCUAGAUUUGCAAUGAUAGCUCCACAUGCUUUUCUUUCAUCUCGACUUGCAGGAAUACCUGGACUUAAGGCUUCACUCCUGGAAGAGUUUGGCGUCUACUUGUUAACAUGUGAUCUUCCUGGUUUUGGAGAGAGUGAUCCUCACCCAAACAGAAACCUCGAGUCAUCAGCAUUGGAUAUGUUAUACCUAGUAAAUUCUCGGGGUGUUAAGGACAAGUUCUGGGUUGUGGGAUACUCAACUGGGAGCCUUCAUGCUUGGGCAGCACUUAAAUACAUUCCUGAUAAACUUGCUGGUGCUGUUAUGUUUGCUCCUAUGGUUAAUCCUUAUGAUCCAUUGAUGACCAAGGAUGAAAGACGUGGAAUCUGGGAGAAGUGGACACGGAAAAGAAAAUUUAUGUAUUUCUUAGCUCGGAGGUUUCCUAGAUUACUUUCCUACUUCUACCACCGGAGCUUCCUGUCCGGAAAGCAUGAUAAGAUCGAUGCAUGGCUCUCACUGUCUCUAGGAAAGAGAGAUAAAGCUUUGAUAGAGGAUCCGAUCUAUGAAGAAUUCUGGCAAAGGGAUGUAGAAGAGUCAAUCCGACAGGGAAAUGCAAAACCCUUUAUAGAGGAAGCUGUUCUGCAAGUUUCAAAUUGGGGGUUCAGCCUUGCAGACAUCAAGUUGGAGAAGAAAAAGCCAGGGAAAGGUUUCCUCAAUUGGCUCAAAUUUGUGCUUACUGGAUCUGAAGAUGAGUAUACAGGUUUCCUUGGCCCCAUACACAUAUGGCAGGGGAUGGAUGACAAGGUCGUUCCACCAUUGAUGACCGAUUUUGUACACCGGGUUCUGCCGGGAGCUGCAGUUCAUAAGCUACCAUAUGAGGGCCAUUUCACAUAUUUUUACUUUUGUGAUGAAUGCCAUAGGCAGAUAUUCACUACACUCUUUGGGACCCCACAAGGCCCGCUAAACAAGAACAUAGAAGUAGAUCAAACUCCAUAUGAAGACAGUGUGGAGGUGGAUCAAAUAGAAGUGGAUCAUCCACACGAAGAUAACGUGACGGUGCAGGAGGCAGAUCAAAAAGAGGAACAGAUAGAUCAAACCCCAUUAGCAGAGGAUAUGCAAGAGCAGGAAGAAACACACACUGAAGAGGAAGAUGAGAGUUAGUAAUUAUAAUUUAGAAAGAUACCAUUUACCAAUGUAUAUACAUAGGUUUACUACCCUUGGAGUGAAGGUUUAGAAAUCCACAUCAUUCUUUUUGUUAUGGCUUUUAAAUGAUUGUGGAGUUUGAUUGUGGGAAAAUGGGUAUUGCUGGGAAGUUUUGGAGAUAUUGGCUGGAUGGAGAAAUAUACAGCAAGGAUCUAGCUAUAUUGUGACUCUGUGAGCUAAGGAGUUUCUUUUCCUCUUGACAUAAUGAUAUGAGAAAACAUGCCGACUGUUUGAGAAUCGUUUAAUGUCAGACACGAGACCAUUAAUGGAAGAAUAGCUUUGGCCUUGAGCUAUUUUAACAACCUGAAGAGCAUCACCCUGUGGAAGCCUCUUGCUUGAGAUAUAGCAACAGCUUCUCUAAAAGCUAGGGACUCAAAAUAAAAGGAUCCAAAAUACUAAGGAAGCGACGACAGCUACAGAACAGAGGAGAAGCCUGAAGGAAUCCGAGGUGGUUGCUCCAUCGAAAUUAUUCUUGAUGGAAUCCGAGGGGGAGGAACCAGAACUGCCAGAUUUGUUAUGAACUUGUGGAAGAGGAGAAUCCUGCAAGGCAUUAAACUUGGAGAAACCAUUUAGCUCCAUCGAUACAAUCUCUUGGUGAGAAGAUUUUUGAACACAAGGUUAUUCCGGCUUUUCCAAAUGCUCCAUAAGAGAUAAACCAUUAGAAUUACAAGAUUUUGAUCUUGUCCUUGCAAUGUCAAAACUGCCAUCAGUUCCGCCCAAAAGCAGAGGUCAUUUCUCCACUAAUUUUAAAAGACCGAAGCAUCAGUAGAAAGUCACAUAUCUUUGCGUACAUCUCCUAACAAUAUGAAGUUAAGACAUGUGAGAUCACAGGCCAUUGGCUUUGAAUAAUAAUAUAAUAGUCGUUGAAAGGAGAGGAUGAACAGAACGAACAGUGGCAAGAAUAGCACCGGAUAUUGCAAAUAAUUUGACGGAAAAGACUCUGUUGGCGGUGGCUUUCCAGAAACAGGAGUAUGCCGAUGAUGGUUAUCCACAAGGAGUGGAGGAUGAUGGAGCGGAGGCUGAAGCCCUUCUUGCUUGGCGUUUUGGGUUGCAUUUCUUGCAAGGAGGAGGAGACGAAUAGGAAUAUUCUUGCUAGGGGAGAGAAUGUUUCAAGUUGGCCUUAAUCAUUAGUUAGAUUUUUGUUUUUGAAAGGGUUUGAAAAAUCAUUCUUUAUCCUCACGAGUUUGGCGGUUACAAUUUCAUCUUAAAAUUACAUAA